rnacentral:rRNA from 1 species
GAGUCAUCCUUGAAAUACCACCCUUUAAUUGAUUGAUUUCUAACUCCCCCGGGAGGACCGCGUUUGGUGGGUAGUUUGACUGGGGUGGUCGCCUCCAAAAGAGUAACGGAGGCUUCUAAAGGUACCCUCAGUACGGUUGGUAAUCGUACGAAGAGUGUAAUGGCAUAAGGGUGCUUGACUGCAAGACCGACAAGUCGAGCAGGAACGAAAGUUGGGCAUAGUGAUCCGGUGGUUCCUUAUGGAAGGGCCAUCGCUCAUAGGAUAAAAGGUACUCCGGGGAUAACAGGCUGAUGACUUCCAAGAGUUCACA